rnacentral:rRNA from 1 species
GCUUACGGCCAUACCACCCUGAAUGCGCCCUAUCUCGUCUGAUCUCGGAAGCUAAGCAGGGUCAGGCCAGGUUAGUUACUUGGAUGGGUGACCGCCUGGGAAACCAGGUGUGUAAACU